CUGGCGGCGUGCUUAACACAUGCAAGUCGAACGGUGAAGCCCAGCUUGCUGGGUGGAUCAGUGGCGAACGGGUGAGUAACACGUGAGCAACCUGCCCUCCACUUCGGGAUAAGCCUUGGAAACGGGGUCUAAUACCGGAUAUGAGCCUGCAUCGCAUGGUGUGGGUUGGAAAGUUUUUCGGUGGGGGAUGGGCUCGCGGCCUAUCAGCUUGUUGGUGGGGUGAUGGCCUACCAAGGCGUCGACGGGUAGCCGGCCUGAGAGGGCGACCGGCCACACUGGGACUGAGACACGGCCCAGACUCCUACGGGAGGCAGCAGUGGGGAAUAUUGCACAAUGGGCGAAAGCCUGAUGCAGCGACGCCGCGUGAGGGAUGACGGCCUUCGGGUUGUAAACCUCUUUCAGCAGGGAAGAAGCGCAAGUGACGGUACCUGCAGAAGAAGCGCCGGCUAACUACGUGCCAGCAGCCGCGGUAAUACGUAGGGCGCAAGCGUUGUCCGGAAUUAUUGGGCGUAAAGAGCUCGUAGGCGGUCUGUCGCGUCUGGUGUGAAAUCCCGAGGCUCAACCUCGGGCUUGCAUCGGGUACGGGCAGACUAGAGUGCGGUAGGGGAGACUGGAAUUCCUGGUGUAGCGGUGGAAUGCGCAGAUAUCAGGAGGAACACCGAUGGCGAAGGCAGGUCUCUGGGCCGCAACUGACGCUGAGGAGCGAAAGCAUGGGGAGCGAACAGGAUUAGAUACCCUGGUAGUCCAUGCCGUAAACGUUGGGCACUAGGUGUGGGGCUCAUUCCACGAGUUCCGUGCCGCAGCUAACGCAUUAAGUGCCCCGCCUGGGGAGUACGGCCGCAAGGCUAAAACUCAAAGGAAUUGACGGGGGCCCGCACAAGCGGCGGAGCAUGCGGAUUAAUUCGAUGCAACGCGAAGAACCUUACCAAG
rnacentral:rRNA from 1 species